AGAUUCUAGGUUGGUGCAAAAUUAAUUGUGGUUUUUGCCGUUAAAACUAAUGGCAAAAACCACAAUUAAUUUUGCAACAAACUAAUAUA
rnacentral:miRNA from 1 species